GACGAACCGUCCAAACGUUGUUCGGAAUCACUGGGCUUAAAGGGUGCGUAGGCGGGUCUUUAAGUCAGGGGUGAAAUCCUGGAGCUCAACUCCAGAACUGCCUUUGAUACUGAAGAUCUUGAGUUCGGGAGAGGUGAGUGGAACUGCGAGUGUAGAGGUGAAAUUCGUAGAUAUUCGCAAGAACACCAGUGGCGAAGGCGGCUCACUGGCCCGAUACUGACGCUGAGGCACGAAAGCGUGGGGAGCAAACAGG
rnacentral:rRNA from 1 species